CUUUAAAAAUCUGGAUCAAGCUGAAAAUUGAAACGACACACUGUUUCAUUUCUCCGUUAAACAAGAAAUGAAAAGCGGUGUGUUCGAGUCUCUCAAAUUUUCGCAACACUGAAGUGUUUUUACGAAACAUCUUCGG
rnacentral:sRNA from 1 species